rnacentral:tRNA from 1 species
GGAAAAUAGCUCAGUGGUAGAGUGCUUACCUAACAUGUACAAGGACCUGGGUUCAAUCCCAGCACCA